GUGAAAAAAAUGGAACCCCUAGUAAUCUUACGCAGACAAAAAAACUGUGCAGGCUCACUAGGGGAAGCAGCCUAUAGCAAGAUGGUAUUUUCCUCCAGAAGUGGAUUACAGGCUUCAGAUGUUGCCCCCCAAUGCCAUAGGACUAGUGGUUUGGAUCCUUGAAGCCAAGGUACUGUCAAAAGCCGAACUGCAGUUUUUGGUCUUGCUUCCAACCCUCUGGCCUAAAGUCCGAGUUAUCGUAGAAUGUGGAAACUGGUAAGCCCCCAUACCCAGUAUUUGCCCUAUUUUCCGAUUCCGCUUUGUUUAAUCCCUUCUUCCAACUGUGUGCAGGAGAAAGUUCAUGUUGACGCCACUUAAAGAAAUUGCAAGAUUUCCUGUGAAAGAGGGAGAAUGAUCUGAUUGCUCAACAACCACAAGACAAACACCUCUGCAAAUAUUUCAUAACUAGUGGCCCCAAUGCUAUGCUCUACUUUUCCUCCAAAACAUAGGCUUUCAUUGUUCAUAUGACUGAGAUAACAGUACUUCCAAUUGAAAGUGUUUAGCAGCAGUGAUAAAAAAAUUCUAAUCAAGCAA